GACGAACGCUGGCGGCGUGCUUAACACAUGCAAGUCGAACGGAAAGGCCCUGCUUUUGUGGGGUGCUCGAGUGGCGAACGGGUGAGUAACACGUGAGUAACCUGCCCUUGACUUUGGGAUAACUUCAGGAAACUGGGGCUAAUACCGGAUAGGAGCUCCUGCUGCAUGGUGGGGGUUGGAAAGUUUCGGCGGUUGGGGAUGGACUCGCGGCUUAUCAGCUUGUUGGUGGGGUAGUGGCUUACCAAGGCUUUGACGGGUAGCCGGCCUGAGAGGGUGACCGGCCACAUUGGGACUGAGAUACGGCCCAGACUCCUACGGGAGGCAGCAGUAGGGAAUCUUCCACAAUGGGUGCAAACCUGAUGGAGCAAUGCCGCGUGAGUGAAGAAGGUCUUCGGAUCGUAAAGCUCUGUUGUUAGAGAAGAACACGUGCUAGGUAACUACUAGCGCCUUGACGGUAUCUAACCAGAAAGUCACGGCUAACUACGUGCCAGCAGCCGCGGUAAUACGUAGGUGACAAGCGUUGUCCGGAUUUAUUGGGCGUAAAGGGAGCGCAGGCGGUCUGUUUAGUCUAAUGUGAAAGCCCACGGCUUAACCGUGGAACGGCAUUGGAAACUGACAGACUUGAAUGUAGAAGAGGAAAAUGGAAUUCCAAGUGUAGCGGUGGAAUGCGUAGAUAUUUGGAGGAACACCAGUGGCGAAGGCGAUUUUCUGGUCUAACAUUGACGCUGAGGCUCGAAAGCGUGGGGAGCGAACAGGGUUAGAUACCCUGGUAGUCCACGCCGUAAACGAUGAGUGCUAAGUGUUGGGGGCUUUCCGGCCCUCGGUGCUGGAGCUAACGUAUUAAGCACUCCGCCUGGGGAUUACGACCGCAAGGUUGAAACUCAAAAGAAUUGACGGGGACCCGCACAAGCGGUGGAGCAUGUGGUUUAAUUCGAAGCAACGCGAAGAACCUUACCAGCUCUUGACAUCUUCUGACAACUCUAGAGAUAGAGCGUUCCCUUCGGGGACAGAAUGACAGGUGGUGCAUGGUUGUCGUCAGCUCGUGUCGUGAGAUGUUGGGUUAAGUCCCGUAACGAGCGCAACCCUUGUUGUUAGUUGCCAGCAUUAAGUUGGGCACUUUAACGAGACUGCCGGUGAUAAACCGGAGGAAGGCGGGGAUGACGUCAAAUCAUCAUGCCCCUUAUGAGCUGGGCUACACACGUGCUACAAUGGAUGGUACAACGAGCAGCGAUCCCGCAAGGGCUAGCUAAUCUUUCAAAGCCAUUCUCAGUUCGGAUUGCACUCUGCAACUCGAGUGCAUGAAGUCGGAAUCGCUAGUAAUCGCGAAUCAGAAUGUCGCGGUGAAUCCGUUCCCGGGUCU
rnacentral:rRNA from 1 species